rnacentral:rRNA from 1 species
UGCUUUUGACAGUGAACUCAUUAGUUCUCUGGGUUUCCUGUUGCAGCUAGCUGCGAGAACUAAUGUGAAUUGCAAGACACAUUGAUCAUUGACACUUCGAACGCACCUUGCGGCCCGGGGUUCCUCCCGGGGCUACGCCUGUCUGAGCAUCG